rnacentral:rRNA from 1 species
GAUGAACGCUGGCGGCGUGCUUAACACAUGCAAGUCGAACGAAGCGCUUUGGACAGAAUCUUCGGAUGAAGUCCUUAGUGACUGAGUGGCGGACGGGUGAGUAACGCGUGGGUAACCUGCCUCAUACAGGGGGAUAACAGUUAGAAAUGGCUGCUAAUACCGCAUAAGCGCACGGUACUGCAUGGUACAGUGUGAAAAACUCCGGUGGUAUGAGAUGGACCCGCGUUGGAUUAGCUAGUUGGCAGGGUAACGGCCUACCAAGGCGACGAUCCAUAGCCGGCCUGAGAGGGUGGACGGUCACAUUGGGACUGAGACACGGCCCAGACUCCUACGGGAGGCAGCAGUGGGGAAUAUUGCACAAUGGGGGAAACCCUGAUGCAGCGACGCCGCGUGAGCGAAGAAGUAUUUCGGUAUGUAAAGCUCUAUCAGCAGGGAAGAAAAUGACGGUAC